rnacentral:lncRNA from 1 species
UAAAGAUGAAGAAGAUGCUUGAAUUUCAUUGCCAAUAGAUCGGGAGGGGCAACAAUCGACUUACGAGUUUUGUUUGGUUGGUUGUUUCUUAACAUCAAGUACUGUUUAUUUCCUAGCUAUGAAAAAUACUACGGUAAAUCUUUGGCAUCCCUUAAGGGGAGUACUUGUAGAGCCCAAUUUUCGCCCGGGCCCAGGCAAACAAUAACCAACCAAAAAUAAUAAAGUUCAAGUCCAUAUUACAAACUCAAAACCCCUAGCCCAAAUAAUACUCAAGCUUAAUAAGCCAACUCUACCCCGAAUGGCCCAAAUCCCUAGACCGUUUACGAAAACCCGGCCCGUAACAUAAACACUUCAGCAAACCCUAGGGCGCCGCUCUUGCCUCCACACAGCCCCAGCGCCGUAUGCCUCCUCGCGUGCCCACCGCGCGCGUGCCUCUGGCCCUUUCCACGUCACCAUACGAACGACCUCUUCCGUACGAUGGUUGCACCUGCAAAAACACGCAGCAAGAAAAGCAGGAAGAGAACAACAGCAGAGCAAAUAGGCUAGCAAAAAAUAAUAGAAAAAAAAAAGAACAGAGCAAAAAAUAUAUCUCUAUUUUGUAAUUUUUUUUCGGCUAUAUAAAAACCCAUUUUUCAGAAUCUGUGGAGGACACGCAUAUUGUAGGAGAAAAACGAAAUCAAUACACAAGGAAGGUUUUCUUUUUCUCUUUUCUCGAUUGGGUUCCUUUUUCUUUGGCUUUUCUUUUUUCUGUUUUGCUGUUAGCCCUAUACAUAAGCAUAUACAUAUAAUAAGAGGGAAAUGAAGUACUUACCUCGGUGACCCUGUCGUCGUUCUCAUCGGUUUCGUGGAUACCAGAGAGGCUAGGCACGAUUUUAGCCUGAGAACGGCGCAAGAGGAGAGGGGAAAGGCAAAGUUUUUUCUGUUUUUUUUAAGUGGCCGAAUAACCUUGUUUAGGGUUUUAAAAUUGGUUCUUUUGGGGUGUUGAAACGGUGUCGUUUGGGGCCUGAAUCAGUGGCCACCAAAACGACGUCGUAUUUGCAUACCCGCACGUCCAACCCGA